AUGGGCCAGGCGGAUGGUAUUUUUGGGCCUCGGCUGGAAGGACGUCCCAUAAAGAAGCUUAAGAACAGAAUCCGUUGGAGUGAAAUGCAUGAAAAGGUGAGGGAGUUAACUGAAGAGGAGAACAAUCAGAGGUGGCUAUACCUUACCGAGGAUGACAUCAAGGGAUUGCCCUGUUUUCAGAAUGAAACACUAAUCGCGAUAAAAGCACCUCAUGGCACUACACUGGAAGUACCAGAUCCUGAUGAGGAAAGAUCGGGAACGGGCAGAACCUCACCUCUGAAAAGAAGGAACAAACAGCCGCACGGACGCACGACAAAGCAGCCACAGGCACCCUACACACGAAAAGAAAGCGGAAGGAAGAAAGAUCAACAGCUGAGUGGAGAGCGGAAGCAGCGGAAAUUAAUAAGCGAACGAAAGAAGGAGCUCACCCUAACCAAACGCAACAGCAGCAGCGAGAGGAGCCAUGAGGAAGUAGAGCGGCGACGCGGCAAGCAGGCAACAAGCAAAGCGAUGGCGAUGGCGAUGGCGAUGGCGAUUGAUGGCGAGCCACGGAAGCAACGGCAGCGGCCGCGAGAGAUCGCACAUUGCGCAACUGUUAUUGUGUUUAAUUUAUACUUUGAUAACCCAACUAACGGAUGGUAA
rnacentral:rRNA from 1 species